rnacentral:tRNA from 1 species
GGAUUGUGGCUCAGUGGUAGAGUGCCACCUAGCAUGCUCAGGGCCCUGAGUUCGAUCCUUAGCACCG